UAACCUGCAAUUUUUCAAUCAUCUAAUGGGUCAUCCCUUUAUGAAUUAAUGAGGUUAUUGUAUAACGAAUUUAAUUUUUCUGUUGACUUUCGAAUGACUUAAUAACACAACAUUUGAGUUCUAUAAAGUAUUGCUUCCCCAGGUGAUGAUUAGUUAUAGGAACUGAGUAUUUUUGCUACAUCCUUUUUCUUAAGAGCAUGCAUUCACUUUUUUUACUAUGAAAUACCAAUCACUAGAUUUUGGAUCAUUGGUACCUUGAGCAUGCACAUGAGAAAGGUAUUACAACCACAACUUUAUCGCGUGAUGGAUAACAGAUAUUCAGAUCCCUCUUUUGAUACAGUUGCAAUGUUUCUUACAAUCAUAUAUACCACCAAUUUGAAUUUACAAUGGAGUUACAAUGAUAGGUGACAAAACAGCAGCUGCAUCCCCUUUGACUUUGCCAACUUUUAUGACAGUUGAUAGACUAUCAUGGAAUUAGAUAAAAACUCCUUUAUCAAGCAGAUUCAUUCAGUUUAGUUAUCUCUUACGCUACACGUCUUUCAUCUAAUUACAUAGGUUGGUCUGUGUCCGUGUUAGCUAGGAUGGAAUCUUAGGUUUAUCCUUUUUUACAUUGCGCUUGUGUGGUCCAUCGAUAUUUCAAAUGUAUAGUUCACUGCUUCCAAAUGAAACGUACUUUCCUUAGCUUGAUUUUUAUUUUAUGGUUAUUGGAUUACAAAGUUAAAGGUAUGCUAUUAACCUGGAAUUAAUCACCUUGCAAGAAGGUAUGUGAUUUUAUUAGCGUCGGAUUGUUCUAAUCUAUAUUUUAUUCACCAGUUUUUUGUUGAUCGGGUAUUGGGGACGAAGAGAAGAACUGGACAUGAUGUUGGUCAAGAGUUGGCUCCUAUCAUUUUAGUUCCAAAUCAAACUGCCAUGAUAAUUUGUUUUGGCAAUAUAUUCUUGCCAAGAGCAAUUGUGGUGUCGCUGCCAAUAGGUGCCACAAGUAUCAGCAUUAUCUGGGAAGAGGAAGCCAUGACAAGGUGCAGCAGUUCAUGGCCAUAACCGGUGCAAGGUGUUGUAGAGGCGCACAUGGGAGAUGUUCGAGUCGCUCGGAGGGGAAGUCUACAAUUGGAGGGUUGGGUGAAACUUUGAGAGAGAUGCUGUGCACGUGCAAGAGGAAAACCUGCCGGCCACCAUGAUGCUUGUGCUAUCAAGCUCAACGCAAUAGCGCAGAGAGAGGAUCAUUUUGUAGCAUAUGGAAUUGCCGUUAGAGUUUCCUGGACAAGUAUCACUGCUACUCUCUCUCUGUACCAGUUCAAUGAAUUGCUAUUUAUUACUACUUGGUUGAUCUUCUA